UAGGGGAGACUGGAAUUCCUGGUGUAGCGGUGAAAUGCGCAGAUAUCAGGAGGAACACCGAUGGCGAAGGCAGGUCUCUGGGCUGUUACUGACGCUGAGGAGCGAAAGCAUGGGGAGCGAACAGGAUUAGAUACCCUGGUAGUCCAUGCCGUAAACGUUGGGCACUAGGUGUGGGGAACAUUCCACGUUUUCCGCGCCGUAGCUAACGCAUUAAGUGCCCCGCCUGGGGAGUACGGCCGCAAGGCUAAAACUCAAAGGAAUUGACGGGGGCCCGCACAAGCGGCGGAGCAUGCGGAUUAAUUCGAUGCAACGCGAAGAACCUUACCAAGGCUUGACAUACACCGGACCGGGCCAGAGAUGGUCUUUCCCCCUUGUGGGGCUGGUGUACAGGUGGUGCAUGGUUGUCGUCAGCUCGUGUCGUGAGAUGUUGGGUUAAGUCCCGCAACGAGCGCAACCCUCGUUCUAUGUUGCCAGCACGUGAUGGUGGGGACUCAUAGGAGACUGCCGGGGUCAACUCGGAGGAAGGUGAGGAUGACGUCAAAUCAUCAUGCCCCUUAUGUCUUGGGCUUCACGCAUGCUACAAUGGCCAGUACAAUGGGUUGCGAUGCCGCGAGGUGGAGCUAAUCCCAAAAAGCUGGUCUCAGUUCGGAUCGUGGUCUGCAACUCGACCACGUGAAGUCGGAGUCGCUAGUAAUCGCAGAUCAGCAACGCUGCGGUGAAUACGUUCCCGGGCCUUGUACACACCGCCCGUCAAGUCACGAAAGUUGGUAACACCCGAAGCCGGUGGCCUAACCCUUGUGGGGGGAGCCGUCGAAGGUGGGACUGGCGAUUGGGACUAAGUCGUA
rnacentral:rRNA from 1 species